CGGGGCUUGCUGUCACCCCGCAGGGAGGCAGCCUGGGCUCGACCGCUGCGGGCUGAAGGCGGUGGGGCUGCCGUGUUUGCAGCAAACCUGGCGGGUUUGAAUUGGACUAUCUUCAGCUUCCAACUCCUGGAUCUUGUUAUGAUUUUGGCUGGUGCAUCAAAGAGGCCUCUGCUAUCAGAAAUCCUCUCCCCAUGUCCCACGAAGGAGGGAGGCGAGGACGGAGGAAUGAAAUACAAAGCCCUUCAAUUAUGCCAAUAUGUUUUUAUGAGAAUCAGCCUGUGGCUCCAUUCUCAGCUCUGCCAGCUCACAGAUUUUGGAACGGAUCGCUACAAGAUUUUUAUACUCUCUACUCCUGAUCUGAAUUCCGGCUUGACCAAAUUGUCUGGGAAUGCUGUGCCUAGCAGAAACAUGCCUCUGAAGGGUGACUUUGACAUAACAUCAAAAGGAUGAGAGCGACUGAUUCCAUGUCAGUAUCUCUGGGGCAGAAACCCUUCCAGCAAUGGACACAUCAAAACAUCUUCUUAGUUGUCCUGACCCACCGGAAUUUGAGUCUGCUAACAAAGAGGCAGUGUUGGUAUCCGUGUUUCCCAAGAUGUCUGGCUUGCCUGCCUGGUUAACAUUGAUUUUAAAUAAAUGUUUGCU